GACGAACGCUGGCGGCGUGCUUAACACAUGCAAGUCGAACGGAAAGGCCCUGCUUUUGUGGGGUGCUCGAUUGGCGAACGGGUGAGUAAAACAUGAGUAACCUGCCCUUGACUUUGUGAUAACUUCAGGAAACUGGGGCUAAAAUCGGGGAGGAUCUCUUGCUGCAUGUGGUGGGUUGGAGAAUUUCGGUGGUUGGGGCUGGUGUCGCUGCUUAUCAGCUUGAUGGUGGGGUAGUGGAUUUCCAAGGCUUUGACGGUUAGCCUGCCUGAUAGGGUGACCGGCCACCUUGGGACUGAGGUACGGCCCAGACGCCUACGGGAGGCAGCAGUGGGAAAUAUUGCACAAUGGGCGGAAGCCUGAUGUGGAGACGCCGCGUGCGGAAUGACGGCCUUCGGGUUGUAAACAGAUUUCGCCUGUGAUGAAGCGUGAGUGACGGUAAUGAGUCAAGAAGCCACGGCUAACUACGUG
rnacentral:rRNA from 1 species